ACGCUCGACACCUACGGGAGGGCAGCAGUCGGGAAUAUUGCGCAAUGGAGGAAACUCUGACGCAGUGACGCCGCGUAUAGGAAGAAGGUUUUCGGAUUGUAAACUAUUGUCGUUAGGGAAGAGAAAGGACAGUACCUAAGGAGGAAGCUCCGGCUAACUACGUGCCAGCAGCCGCGGUAAUCUGAGCGGGCUGGCAAGGC
rnacentral:rRNA from 1 species